rnacentral:misc_RNA from 1 species
GUUUAGAUAUUUAAAUAUAGACAUGUUUUAUCCAAGUAUAAGAAACUAAAACGAUUAACCCUCUAAUUUUCUGAUGUAUGUCUAAUGGAAAGUAAGUACCGUAUUUAUUUGUUUUGUCAGGAAAAAAAAUACAGCACUAUUUUACACUGUUACACAAAUUACCAAAUAGCUUAUUUUGUUUUUUUUGAUAAGUUGUUGUUUGACUACAAGAUGGCAGUGCAUUGUAUAUUGAACUUGUGUUCAACAUCUCCAACACUUGUAAAACCAGCUAUCAAUUUUUUAUGGCAUUUGCAUUAUAACAUGGAUGUGAAAUGAAAUUUAUUUAUGAUUAAACAUUGGGCUAACUCCCAGUGGAUUGAAUUUGUCCUCUUUGUCCUCUGAGGUUCUGAUCUGUUACUCAUGAUAUUUAAGGUUUGACUGCGGACAUAAUGACAUGAUGACGUCAUGGUUAUUGUUGACGCAGACAAAAUGGUGUUUGUCUACCGUGGAUGUAUUGUAGUAGCCGUUACUGUUAUGUUACCGUGUAAUAAUGACUGUGUAAAUAUUGACUCAUAAACAAGGGAAAAAAG